rnacentral:misc_RNA from 1 species
AACCUUAUGGACCUGCGGGCGUAUACCUGCGGAGGGAUCAUUACCGAGUUUACAACUCCCAAACCCCUGUGAACAUACCUAUACGUUGCCUCGGCGGAUCAGCCCGCGCCCCGUAAAAAGGGACAGCCCGCCCGAGGACCCCUAAACUCUGUUUUUAGUGGAACUUCUGAGUAAAACAAACAAAUAAAUCAAAACUUUUAACAACGGAUCU